CUCCUGUAUGUGAUUAAAGUUCAAUUUAGAGAUUGAGAUACAAGUAUUUAAGGUAAAUUACAUCUGUUUGAAAGUGAAACCAGUUUUUUUUUUCAUGCAGGCUCUGUCAAUCAUAGCCAGGGGAGGCGUGGCUAGGGCUGCAUAAACAGAAACAAAGUGAUUUAACUCCUAAAUGACAGUGAAUUGAGCAGUGAAAUUGCAGGGGAAUGAUCUAUACACUAAAACU